AUUGAACGCUGGCGGCAGGCCUAACACACGCAAGUCGAGCGGAUGAAGGGAGCUUGCUCCUGGAUUCAGCGGCGGACGGGUGAGUAAUGCCUAGGAAUCUGCCUGGUAGUGGGGGAUAACGUCCGGAAACGGGCGCUAAUACCGCAUACGUCCUGAGGGAGAAAGUGGGGGAUCUUUGGACCUCACGCUAUCAGAUGAGCCUAGGUCGGAUUAGUUAGUUGGUGGGGUAAAUGCCUACCAAGGCGACGAUCCGUAACUGGUCUGAGAGGAUGAUAAGUCACCCUGGAACUGAGACACGGUCCAGACUCCUACGGGAGGCCGCAGUGGGGAAUAUUGGACAGUGGGCGAGAGCCUGAUCCAGCCAUGCCGCGUGUGUGAAGAAGGUCUUCGGAUUGUAAAGCACUUUAAGUUGGGAGGAAGGGCAGUAAGUUAAUACCUUGCUGUUUUGACGUUACCAACAGAAUAAGCACCGGCUAACUUCGUG
rnacentral:rRNA from 1 species